rnacentral:rRNA from 1 species
CGUAGGGGACGAGCGUUGUCCGGAUUCAUUGGGCGUAAAGCGCGCGUAGGCGGCUCGGUAAGUCGGUCGUGAAAUGCCGGGGCUCAACCCCGGGACUGCGUCCGAUACUCCCGAGCUGGAGGCAGGUAGGGGAGAUCGGAAUUCCUGGUGUAGCGGUGAAAUGCGCAGAUAUCAGGAGGAACACCGGUGGCGAAGGCGGAUCUCUGGGCCUUGCCUGACGCUGAGGCGCGAAAGCUAGGGGAGCGAACAGG